rnacentral:rRNA from 1 species
AGUGAACGCUGGCGGUAGGCCUAACACAUGCAAGUCGAACGGCAGCACAGGAGAGCUUGCUCUCUGGGUGGCGAGUGGCGGACGGGUGAGGAAUACAUCGGAAUCUACCUUUUCGUGGGGGAUAACGUAGGGAAACUUACGCUAAUACCGCAUACGACCUACGGGUGAAAGUGGGGGACCGCAAGGCCCCACGCGAUUAGCUGCGCCGAUGUCCGAUUAGCUCGUUGGCGGGGUAAUGGCCCACCAAGGCGACGAUCGGUAGCUGGUCUGAGAGGAUGAUCAGCCACACUGGAACUGAGACACGGUCCAGACUCCUACGGGAGGCAGCAGUGGGGAAUAUUGGACAAUGGGCGCAAGCCUGAUCCAGCCAUACCGCGUGGGUGAAGAAGGCCUUCGGGUUGUAAAGCCCUUUUGUUGGGAAAGAAAUCCUGUCGAUUAAUACUCGGUGGGGAUGACGGUACCCAAAGAAUAAGCACCGGCUAACUUCGUGCCAGCCGCCGCCGUAAGAC